rnacentral:tRNA from 1 species
CAGAUUAAAGCUUUAUGAAGCAUUUUAGUUACAUUAAAAAGAGUAUUGAAUUCAAUAUAAUCUGAAAAUUAAUAAUUAUUAUUUU